AUUGAACGCUGGCGGCAGGCCUAACACAUGCAAGUCGAGCGGAUGAAGGGGGCUUGCUCCUGGAUUCAGCGGCGGACGGGGGAGUAAUGCCUAGGAAUCUGCCUGGUAGUGGGGGAUAACGUCCGGAAACGGGCGCUAAUACCGCAUACGUCCUGAGGGAGAAAGUGGGGGAUCUUCGGACCUCACGCUAUCAGAUGAGCCUAGGUCGGAUUAGCUAGUUGGUGGGGUAAAGGCCUACCCAGGCGACGAUCCGUAACUGGUCUGAGAGGAUGAUCAGCCACACUGGAACUGAGACACGGCCCAGACUCCUACGGGAGGCAGCAGUGGGGAAUAUUGGACAAUGGGCGAAAGCCUGAUCCAGCCAUGCCGCGUGCGUGAAGAAGGUCUUCGGAUUGUAAAGCACUUUAAGUUGGGAGGAAGGGCAGUAAGUUAAUACCUUGCUGUUUUGACGGUACCAACAGAAUAAGCACCGGCUAACUUCGUG
rnacentral:rRNA from 1 species